rfam:Brachypodium distachyon strain Bd21 chromosome 2, whole genome shotgun sequence.
UAAUUACUUCCUCUAUCCAACAAAAGAUGUCUCCAGUUUAUUAAAUUUUGGAUGUAUUUAGACAUGACUUAGUGUAUAGAUGCAUUCAAAUCUAGUCAAAGUUGAGACAUUUUUUGUUGGACGGAGGAAGUACUGA